rnacentral:rRNA from 1 species
CCUACGGGAGGCAGCAGUGGGGAAUCUUGCGCAAUGGGCGAAAGCCUGACGCAGCAACGCCGCGUGGGGGACGAAGGCUCUCGGGUUGUAAACCCCUUUCAGCAGGAACGAAAUUGACGGUACCUGCAGAAGAAGCCCCGGCCAACUACGUGCCAGCAGCCGCGGUAAUACGUAGGGGGCGAGCGUUGUCCGGAUUCAUUGGGCGUAAAGAGCUCGUAGGCGGCUUCGUAAGUCGGGUGUGAAAACCCCAGGCUCAACCUGGGGACGCCACUCGAUACUGCGAUAGCUAGAGUCUGGUAGGGGAUCACGGAAUUCCUGGUGUAGCGGUGAAAUGCGCAGAUAUCAGGAGGAACACCGGUGGCGAAGGCGGUGAUCUGGGCCAGUACUGACGCUGAGGAGCGAAAGCGUGGGGAGCAAACAGGAUUAGAUACCCCUGUAGUC